rnacentral:rRNA from 1 species
GACAGAGGGUGCAAACGUUGUUCGGAAUUACUGGGCGUAAAGCGUGUGUAGGCGGCUACGCAAGUCGGAUGUGAAAGCCCCGGGCUCAACCCGGGAAGUGCACCCGAAACUGCGUGGCUUGAGUACCGGAGAGGUUGGUGGAAUUCUCGGUGUAGAGGUGAAAUUCGUAGAUAUCGAGAGGAACACCGGUGGCGAAGGCGGCCCACUGGGCAGUCACUGACGCUGAGGCGCGAAAGCUCGGGGAGCGAACGGG